GACCGCGUAGCUCAGUUGGCAGAGCAUUGGGCUAGUAUUCCAAAAGUUGUAGGUUUGAUUCCCACCGUGGCG